UUUCCGUUGGUGAACCAGCGGAGGGAUCAUUAUUCAGUUUUUCUACUCCCAAACCCCUGUGAACUUAUACCUUAACUGUUCCUUCGGCGGGUUAACGCCCCGGAAGGCGCAAAAAGCCGCCGGAGCCAGGUGCCCGCCGGGGGACCCAAACUCUUGUAUUUCUUACCUUGCAUGUCUGGGUGUGAUCAUAAACAAAUGAAUCAAAACUUUCAACAACGGAUCUCUUGGUUCUG
rnacentral:misc_RNA from 1 species